rfam:Emmonsia pasteuriana TAMH 9510 supercont1.118, whole genome shotgun sequence.
GGGAAGAUGGCCGAGUGGUUAUGGCGCUACGUUCAGGUCUUGGCGCAAAUCAGCUGAUUUGGAUCACGGGCUUCGUAGUAGGGCAACCUGCGUGGGUUCGAGUCCCACUCUUCUCA